UGGGGAAUUUUCCGCAAUGGGCGAAAGCCUGACGGAGCAAUACCGCGUGAGGGAGGAAGGCUCUUGGGUCGUAAACCUCUUUUCUCAAGGAAGAAGAAAGUGACGGUACUUGAGGAAUAAGCAUCGGCUAACUCCGUGCCAGCAGCCGCGGUAAUACGGAGGAUGCAAGCGUUAUCCGGAAUGAUUGGGCGUAAAGGGUCUGUAGGUGGUACUGUAAGUCUGCUGUUAAAGAAUCACGCUCAACGUGAUCAAAGCAGUGGAAACUACAGAACUAGAGUGCGGUAGGGGCAGAAGGAAUUCCUGGUGUAGCGGUGAAAUGCGUAGAUAUCAGGAAGAACACCGGUGGCGAAAGCGUUCUGCUAGACCGCAACUGACACUGAGGGACGAAAGCUAGGGGAGCGAAUGGGAUUAGAUACCCCAGUAGUCCUAGCCGUAAACGAUGGAUACUAGGCGUGGCUUGUAUCGACCCGAGCCGUGCCGGAGCUAACGCGUUAAGUAU
rnacentral:rRNA from 1 species